rnacentral:lncRNA from 1 species
AUAACAUACUUACAUAUAAUACACCCAAACUUAGUAUCUAGUUGUCUAACUACCUGGACAUUACAAAAAAAGCUGACAAAUUGUCGGCAUAAGACUAGAUCUCGAUGCUGGAGCUCAACCUAGAUAACUUUUAGGCUCUAACCUGGUUUGAGAAUACUUACUAGCAGCUGAUACUUUCAACUUUUCCACAGCAGUUUGGGGAUGUGGGGGUAUUUGUAUUUCUUUACGCCGUAUCCUGUGUGGUUUCAGUCCAUCUAUUUACAUGUUAUUGAGAGUCCACUAACAGCUUGAGCAUGAAAUCAGC